CGCCUCGUGAACUCAUCUUCGGGGGUAGAGCACUGUUUCGGCUAGGGGGUCAUCCCGACUUACCAACCCGAUGCAAACUACGAAUACCGAAGAAUGUUAUCACGGGAGACACACGGCGGGCGCUAACGUCCGUCGUGAAGAGGGAAACAACCCAGACCGCCAGCUAAGGUCCCAAAGUCAUGGUUAAGUGGGAAACGAUGUGGGAAGGCACAGACAGCCAGGAUGUUGGCUUAGAAGCAGCCAUCAUUUAAAGAAAGCGUAAUAGCUCACUGGUCGAGUCGGCCUGCGCGGAAGAUGUAACGGGGCUAAACCAUGCACCGAAGCUGCGGCAGCGAC
rnacentral:rRNA from 1 species